GUAGUCGGCUAAAUCGUCGCCGCUUUUAUUACUUACGGCUUUUGUUGUUUGUAAUAGAGGGGGAGGAAAGUCCGGGCUUCAUAGGGUAGGGUGCCAGGUAACGCCUGGGUAGCGCGAGCUAACGACAAGUGCAGCAGAGAGGAGACCGCCUUCUAAUAACUUGUUAUUAGUCGGUAAGGGUGAAAGGGUGCGGUAAGAGCGCACCGGCUAAUGGGUAAUCAUUAGUGCAAGGUAAACUCCACCCGAAGCAAAACCAAAUAGGCUUCCUGAGGCAUGACCCAUGCUGGAAGCGGGUAGGUUGCUUGAGCCAGUGAGCGAUUGCUGGCCUAGACGAAUGACGGUUCACGACAGAACCCGGCUUAUCGGCUGACUACAACC
rnacentral:RNase_P_RNA from 1 species